rnacentral:rRNA from 1 species
AUUGAACGCUGGCGGAAUGCUUUACACAUGCAAGUCGAACGGUAGAGGGGGCAACCCCUUGAGAGUGGCGAACGGGUGAGUAAUAUAUCGGAACGUGCCCAGUCGUGGGGAUAACGUAGCGAAAGUUACGCUAAUACCGCAUACGAUCUACGGAUGAAAGCGGGGGACUCGCAAGAGCCUCGCGCGAUUGGAGCGGCCGAUAUCAGAUUAGGUAGUUGGUGGGGUAAAGGCUCACCAAGCCAACGGUCUGUAGCUGGUCUGAGAGGACGACCAGCCACACUGGGACUGAGACACGGCCCAGACUCCUACGGGAGGCAGCAGUGGGGAAUUUUGGACAAUGGGCGCAAGCCUGAUCCAGCAAUGCCGCGUGCAGGAUGAAGGCCUUCGGGUUGGUAAAC